rnacentral:rRNA from 1 species
GAGUUUGAUCAUGGCUCAGAUUGAACGCUGGCGGCAGGCCUAACACAUGCAAGUCGAACGGUAACAGGAAGAAGCUUGCUUCUUUGCUGACGAGUGGCGGACGGGUGAGUAAUGUCUGGGAAACUGCCUGAUGGAGGGGGAUAACUACUGGAAACGGUAGCUAAUACCGCAUAACGUCGCAAGACCAAAGAGGGGGACCUUCGGGCCUCUUGCCAUCGGAUGUGCCCAGAUGGGAUUAGCUAGUAGGUGGGGUAACGGCUCACCUAGGCGACGAUCCCUAGCUGGUCUGAGAGGAUGACCAGCCACACUGGAACUGAGACACGGUCCAGACUCCUACGGGAGGCAGCAGUGGGGAAUAUUGCACAAUGGGCGCAAGCCUGAUGCAGCCAUGCCGCGUGUAUGAAGAAGGCCUUCGGGUUGUAAAGUACUUUCAGCGGGGAGGAAGGGAGUAAAGUUAAUACCUUUGCUCAUUGACGUUACCCGCAGAAGAAGCACCGGCUAACUCCGUGCCAGCAGCCGCGGUAAUACGGAGGGUGCAAGCGUUAAUCGGAAUUACUGGGCGUAAAGCGCACGCAGGCGGUUUGUUAAGUCAGAUGUGAAAUCCCCGGGCUCAACCUGGGAACUGCAUCUGAUACUGGCAAGCUUGAGUCUCGUAGAGGGGGGUAGAAUUCCAGGUGUAGCGGUGAAAUGCGUAGAGAUCUGGAGGAAUACCGGUGGCGAAGGCGGCCCCCUGGACGAAGACUGACGCUCAGGUGCGAAAGCGUGGGGAGCAAACAGGAUUAGAUACCCUGGUAGUCCACGCCGUAAACGAUGUCGACUUGGAGGUUGUGCCCUUGAGGCGUGGCUUCCGGAGCUAACGCGUUAAGUCGACCGCCUGGGGAGUACGGCCGCAAGGUUAAAACUCAAAUGAAUUGACGGGGGCCCGCACAAGCGGUGGAGCAUGUGGUUUAAUUCGAUGCAACGCGAAGAACCUUACCUGGUCUUGACAUCCACAGAACUUUCCAGAGAUGGAUUGGUGCCUUCGGGAACUGUGAGACAGGUGCUGCAUGGCUGUCGUCAGCUCGUGUUGUGAAAUGUUGGGUUAAGUCCCGCAACGAGCGCAACCCUUAUCUUUUGUUGCCAGCGGUCCGGCCGGGAACUCAAAGGAGACUGCCAGUGAUAAACUGGAGGAAGGUGGGGAUGACGCCAAGUCAUCAUGGCCCUUACGACCAGGGCUACACACGUGCUACAAUGGCGCAUACAAAGAGAAGCGACCUCGCGAGAGCAAGCGGACCUCAUAAAGUGCGUCGUAGUCCGGAUUGGAGUCUGCAACUCGACUCCAUGAAGUCGGAAUCGCUAGUAAUCGUGGAUCAGAAUGCCACGGUGAAUACGU